GCGGCGUGCCUAUCAUGCNAGUCGAGCGGACUCCUUCGGGAGUGAGCGGCGGACGGGUGAGGAACACGUGGGGAAUCUGCCUAACAGACCGGAAUAACGCCUGGAAACGGGUGCUAAGGCCGGAUAGGCGCAUGAGGCGCAUGCCUGAUGCGGGAAAGGAUGCUAUGGCAUCGCUGAGAGAGGACCCCGCGGCGCAUUAGCUAGUUGGUAGGGUAAAGGCCUACCAAGGCGACGAUGCGUAGCCGACCUGAGAGGGUGACCGGCCACACUGGGACUGAGACACGGCCCAGACUCCUACGGGAGGCAGCAGUAGGGAAUCUUCCGCAAUGGGCGCAAGCCUGACGGAGCAACGCCGCGUGAGCGAGGAAGGCCUUCGGAUUGUAAAGCUCUGUCAUGCGGGACGAGCGACAAGGAGAGGGCAUGCUCCUUGAGAGACGGUACCGCAGGAGGAAGCCCCGGCUAACUACGUGCCAGCAGCCGCGGUAAU
rnacentral:rRNA from 1 species